AGGGAAAACGCCGACUUCACGCAUUUACCU
rnacentral:piRNA from 1 species